UUUAAAAGGAUCCAAUGGAUGCGAUGGAUCCAAUGGAUGCGAUGGAUAAAUAGAAUAUCUAUUUAUCCAUCGCAUCCUUUGGAUCCAUCGCAUCCAUUGGAUCCUUUUAA